UUUCCGUAGGUGAACCUGCGGAAGGAUCAUUGUCGAAACCUGCCUAGCAGAUUGACCAGCGAACAUGUUUAUCGUAAGUGGAGCGGGGUGCCCUAGCGAAGCCUUACGGACGAGCUAUUGCCCCCUCCUCCCGACGUUGGGUGGUGCUCCUCUCUGAGGGGUGCUGCUCGAUGCAACAACGAACCCCGGCGCGGUCUGCGCCAAGGAACAUGAACUUGAGCGUGCUCGUCUUGUGCCCGGGUCACCGGCGCAUGGGAGUGGAUGCACCCAAUAUUGAGUAUUAAACGACUCUCGGCAACGGAUAUCUUGGCUCUCGCAUCGAUGAAGAACGUAGCGAAAUGCGAUACUUGGUGUGAAUUGCAGAAUCCCGUGAACCAUCGAGUUUUUGAACGCAAGUUGCGCCCGAAGCCUCUGGCCAGGGCACGUCUGCCUGGGCGUCACGCAUUGCGUCUCCCCCAACCCGCCUAGCUGUGGGAGGGGCGAGGAGGAUGGUCUCCCAUGCCUCACCGGGCGUGGAUGGCCUAAAACAGGAGCCCACGGUUGCGAGCUGCUGCGGCGAUUGGUGGUGUGCAAGAAGGCCUAGCCUAGAAUGCAAUCGCGUCGCACAGUGCGUGGACCUUGUGGCCUUGAGGACCCUAGAGUGUUGCCCGAGGGCGACCAACCACUGCGACCCCAGGUCAGGCGGGACUACCCGCUGAGUUUAA
rnacentral:rRNA from 1 species